rnacentral:misc_RNA from 1 species
GAUGAAGAACGUAGCGAAAUGCGAUAAGUAGUGUGAAUUGCAGAAUUCAGUGAAUCAUCGAAUCUUUGAACGCACAUUGCGCCUUCUAGUAUUCUGGGAGGCAUGCCUGUUUGAGCGUCAUUAAACCUCUCUCAAGUAUGAUUACUUGGAUGUGAAGGAAGAGUACCUUAAACUUAAGGAGUGUUCUCCUUUGAAAUUGAUUAGCAGAUGGUAAUGUUAUUAAAUCCCUGAUGUUGUAAGAAAUAACAGUGGUUUUGUAGACUAUUAUCUAGCUUUAAAUUAUAAUUUUUAUUAUGGUUGACCUCAAAUCAGGUAAGGAUACCCGCUGAACUUAAGCAUAUCAAUAAGCGGAAGA